rnacentral:rRNA from 1 species
AGCGGCGCACGGGUGCGGAACACGUGUGCAACCUGCCUUUAUCUGGGGGAUAGCCUUUCGAAAGGAAGAUUAAUACCCCAUAAUAUAUUAGAUGGCAUCAUUUGAUAUUGAAAACUCCGGUGGAUAGAGAUGGGCACGCGCAAGAUUAGUUAGUUGGUGAGGUAACGGCGGGGGGGAGGCGAUGAUCUUUAGGGGGCCUGAGAGGGUGAUCCCCCACACUGGUACUGAGACACGGACCAGACUCCUACGGGAGGCAGCAGUGAGGAAUAUUGGACAAUGGGUUAGCGCCUGAUCCAGCCAUCCCGCGUGAAGGACGACGGCCCUAUGGGUUGUAAACUUCUUUUUGUA